AACGCACCUUGCACCCUUUGGUAUUCCGAAGGGUACGCCCGUUUGAGUGUCAUUGUAAUCUCACCUCUAUGACUUUGGUCAUACGAAGUGGACUUGGGCAGUGUCGUGUUGUUACGACUGGCCUGAAAUGCAUGAGUGUACCCUGCUGUUGCAGCGUCUUCAGUGUGAUAAGCAUCUUCACUGAUACAAGUUCCCGUCCAGGACACGCACGCGAUGUGGGCUCUGCGCUUCGAACCGUCUGCAAAGACAACUCUUGACAAUUUGGCCUCAAAUCGGGUGGGACUACCCGCUGAACUUAA
rnacentral:misc_RNA from 1 species